rnacentral:rRNA from 1 species
GACGAACGCUGGCGGCGUGCCUAAUACAUGCAAGUCGAACGCAUUUUCUUUCACCGUAGCUUGCUACACCGAAAGAAAAUGAGUGGCGAACGGGUGAGUAACACGUGGGUAACCUGCCCAUCAGCGGGGGAUAACACUUGGAAACAGGUGCUAAUACCGCAUAAUUCCAUUUACUGCAUGGUAGAUGGAUGAAAGGCGCUUUUGCGUCACUGAUGGAUGGACCCGCGGUGCAUUAGCUAGUUGGUGGGGUAACGGCCUACCAAGGCUGCGAUGCAUAGCCGACCUGAGAGGGUGAUCGGCCACACUGGGACUGAGACACGGCCCAGACUCCUACGGGAGGCAGCAGUAGGGAAUCUUCGGCAAUGGACGCAAGUCUGACCGAGCAACGCCGCGUGAGUGAAGAAGGUGUUCGGAUCGUAAAACUCUGUUGUUAGAAAAGAACAAGGAUGAGAGUGGAAAGUUCAUCCCUUGACGGUAUCUAACCAGAAAGCCACGGCUAACUACGUG